rnacentral:rRNA from 1 species
GGAUGAUCAGCCGCACUGGAACUGAAACACGGUCCAGACUCCUACGGGAGGCAGCAGUGAGGAAUUUUGCGCAAUGGGGGAAACCCUAACGCAGCAACGCCGCGUGAGUGAAGAAGGCCUUCGGGUCGUAAAGCUCUGUCAAGUGGGAAAAAAGCCUUUUGAUGAAUAGUCAAUUGGUCUGAUGGUACUACUAGAGGAAGCACCGGCUAACUCCGUGCCAGCAGCCGCGGUAAUACGGAGGGUGCAAGCGUUGUUCGGAAUUACUGGGCGUAAAGAGCGUGUAGGCGGUAUGGUAAGUCAGAUGUGAAAGCCCUGGGCUUAACCCAGGAAGUGCAUUUGAUACUGCCAUUCUUGAGUAUGGGAGAGGAGAGUGGAAUUCCCAGUGUAGAGGUGAAAUUCGUAGAUAUUGGGAGGAACACCCGUGGCGAAGGCGACUCUCUGGACCAAUACUGACGCUGAGACGCGAAAGCGUGGGGAGCAAACAGGAUUAGAUACCCUGGUAGUCCACGCCGUAAACGAUGAGAACUAGGUGUAGCGGGUAUUGACCCCUGCUGUGCCGGAGUUAACGCAUUAAGUUCUCCGCCUGGGGAGUACGGCCGCAAGGCUAAAACUCAAAGGAAUUGACGGGGACCCGCACAAGCGGUGGAGCAUGUGGUUUAAUUCGACGCAACGCGAAGAACCUUACCUGGAUUUGACAUCCUCUGACAGCCCCGGAAACGGGGUCUUCCCUGCUUGCAGGGACAGAGUGACAGGUGCUGCAUGGCUGUCGUCAGCUCGUGUCGUGAGAUGUUGGGUUAAGUCCCGCAACGAGCGCAACCCUUGUUUUUAGUUGCCAGUAUUAAGUUAGGCACUCUAAAGAUACUGCCUCGGUUAACGGGGAGGAAGGUGGGGAUGACGUCAAGUCCUCAUGGCCUUUAUAUCCAGGGCUACACACGUGCUACAAUGGGCUGUACAAAGAGUUGCCACUUCGCGAGGAGGAGCUAAUCUCAAAAAGCAGUUCUCAGUUCGGAUUGGAGUCUGCAACUCGACUCCAUGAAGUUGGAAUCGCUAGUAAUCGUGGAUCAGCAUGCCACGGUGAAUACGUUCCCGGGUCUUGUACACACCGCCCGUCACACCACGAAAGUCGACUGUACCAGAAGUUGCUGGGCUAACCCCUUCCGGGGAUGCAGGUACCUAAGGUACGGCCGGUAAUUGGGGUGAAGUCGAAACAAGGUA